rnacentral:rRNA from 1 species
GACGAACGCUGGCGGCGUGCUUAACACAUGCAAGUCGAACGGAAAGGCCCUGCUUGCAGGGUACUCGAGUGGCGAACGGGUGAGUAACACGUGGGUGAUCUGCCCUGCACUUCGGGAUAAGCCUGGGAAACUGGGUCUAAUACCGGAUAGGAGCCAUUUUUAGUGUGAUGGUUGGAAAGUUUUUUUCGGUGUAGGAUGAGCUCGCGGCCUAUCAGCUUGUUGGUGGGGUAAUGGCCUACCAAGGCGGCGACGGGUAGCCGGCCUGAGAGGGUGGACGGCCACAUUGGGACUGAGAUACGGCCCAGACUCCUACGGGAGGCAGCGGUGGGGAAUAUUGCACAAUGGGCGCAAGCCUGAUGCAGCGACGCCGCGUGGGGGAUGACGGCCUUCGGGUUGUAAACUCCGUUCGCUAGGGACGAAGCUUUUUGUGACGGUACCUAGAUAAGAAGCACCGGCUAACUACGUG